rnacentral:rRNA from 1 species
AGGACGAACGCUGGCGGCGUGCUUAACACAUGCAAGUCGAGCGAGGCCCCUUCCUUCGGGAGGGGAGCCCUAGCGGCGAACGGGUGAGUGACACGUGGGCAAUCUGCCCCUAGCACUGGGAUAACUCCGGGAAACCGGGCUAAUACCGGAUAUGACCUCCGAGGGCAUCCUCUGGAGGUGGAAAGGAUUCUGGCUAGGGAUGAGCCCGCGGCCUAUCAGCUAGUUGGUGGGGUAAUGGCCCACCAAGGCGACGACGGGUA